UAAACACUCAGAUUGAACGCUGGCGGCAGGCCUAACACAUGCAAGUCGAGCGGAUGAGUGGAGCUUGCUCCAUGAUUCAGCGGCGGACGGGUGAGUAAUGCCUAGGAAUCUGCCUGGUAGUGGGGGACAACGUUUCGAAAGGAACGCUAAUACCGCAUACGUCCUACGGGAGAAAGUGGGGGAUCUUCGGACCUCACGCUAUCAGAUGAGCCUAGGUCGGAUUAGCUAGUUGGUGAGGUAAAGGCUCACCAAGGCGACGAUCCGUAACUGGUCUGAGAGGAUGUUCAGUCACACUGGAACUGAGACACGGUCCAGAUUCCUACGGGAGGCAGCAGUGGGGAAUAUUGGACAAUGGGCGAAAUCCUGAUCCAGCCAUGCCGCGUGUGUGAAGAAGGUCUUCGGAUUGUAAAGCACUUUAAGUUGGGAGGAAGGGCAGUAAGUUAAUACCUUGCUGUUUUGACGUUACCAACAGAAUAAGCCCCGGCUAACUUCGUGCCAGCAGCCGCGGUAAUACGAAGGGUGCAAGCGUUAAUCGGAAUUACUGGGCGUAAAGCGCGCGUAGGUGGUUCGUUAAGUUGGAUGUGAAAGCCCCGGGCUCAACCUGGGAACUGCAUCCAAAACUGGCGAGCUAGAGUAUGGCAGAGGGUGGUGGAAUUUCCUGUGUAGCGGUGAAAUGCGUAGAUAUAGGAAGGAACACCAGUGGCGAAGGCGACCACCUGGUCUAAUACUGACACUGAGUGCGAAGGACGG
rnacentral:rRNA from 1 species